rnacentral:lncRNA from 1 species
GAUGAUCCAGCAAUUUUGCUUCUUGGGUAUAGAUACCCAAAAGAAUUGAAAGCAGGGACUCAAACAGAUACUUGUACACCCAUGUUCAUAGCAACAAUAUUCCCAACAGCCAAAAGGUGACAACCCAAAUGUCCAUCUAGAGAUGACAUAUAUAUAUAUGCCACAUUUUGUAUAUGUAUGUUUUAUAUAUAUAUAUAUGCAUAACAUUGCAUUUAUACACACACACACACACACACACACACACACUGGAUUAUUCAGCCUUAAAAAGGAAUGAAUAAUGACUGCUACAACAUGGGUGAGCCUUGAAAACGUAAGUGAAAUAAGCCAGGUACAACGACAUGAUUCCACUCUUAGGAGGUAGUGUAGUUAAAUUCAGAGACUCUUAGGGAUUACCAGGGGCUAGGGAGAGGAGAGAAUGGGGAGGUACUAUAUAAUAGGUACAGAAUUUGUUUGAGAUGAUGGAAAUAUUCUGGAAAUAAUAGUUGCACAACUUUGUGCGUGUAAUUAACACCACUGAAUUGUACACUCAUAAUGGCUAAAAGAUUUAUGUAAUGCAUGUUUCUCUACCAUAAAAACGAAAAGCAAAGAGCUCAACAGAUACAAUCUAAGAUCACAACCAAUCACUGGAAAACCUCGUUUUAAUUUUAAUUCCAGCAUCUACAUUGGACAAUUAGCAUUUGUAAAAACCUUUUCAUGCUUUGAGAACUAAAUGAAAAGACACUCAUGUUGAAAGCUUACCAGAUGCUACUUUUCAGUGUAUGUGCAUUUGUUUUAAACUGAAUGCACUAAGUAGCAUUUGCAGGAUGAACAUGGAUAACAAUACUUGAGGGUUAGAAUUCCUCGCUAUCCAACCACACAUUGUAUUAUACAGGCUGGCGACAACAGCAUCCAUUCUCAUUAGGUAUUUGGAAAUUAUUUUAGUGUCUUGCAUUUGGCCUCACUAUCAAUCACCAUCAAUAGAAAAGUUAUUUCAAACUAGCUCAUUCUAAAUAGACAACUAAGUGGUAGCUUCCAUGAUGUCUUAGGUUCUUUGCGGGGUGGAAGAGCAGGGUAAAUGCUCCCUGCACAUAAUAUACUUAACAUAUUUCAAGUAUCAUUUUACUCUUCAUAUGACAAGUGAGAAAAUGCUGAUUUAUUUAUUUCCUCCCCCUUUGUAGGUGGGAAAUAGAAGGCAUUUGAGCUGAGAUAUUACGACGCCAAAACCUUUAUCAGCUUCUCCAAAUAUUAUUUGCACUCUUCCACUUUAUUUAUUUUUCUUUUUAGGGCCGCACGUGUAGCAUAUGAAAAGUGUCCAGCUGCAGCUCCAGCUCUGAUUUGACCUCUAGCCUAGGGAUCCUGGAGACUUCCAUGUGCCUGGAGUGUGGCCCUAAGAAGCAAAAAAAAAAAAAAAAAAAAAAAAAAAAGUUUAAAGAAGGCAGAGCUGACCCCCACAAUGAUGCAAGAAGUGGCUUUCUAGUCACCCACAGGACAUAUGACAAUGUGGAGGGGGUCAGGAAUUUGGUUUGCUCAGAUAGCCAAUUUAACUGUAAAAAAAUAGCUGAAAAGCUAAAUUUAGACAGUCAAGACUCAUUCUGAAAGAAAGCUUGCUCCGGAGGGAAAAAAAUCCUAGCUGUUGUGGUUGAUGAUCCUGUAGAGAGAGGCCAAACCAAAACAGAGUUUCACUGGAACCACCACUUGGGUGGAUAUUCAGGGCAGUCCUACAAUUUUUUUCAUUGGUCUUGGAGGAACAAAAAUGAGCUGAGCUUCCUCAUUUUUUAUCAGCUCUAUAGGUACAAUGAUUUAAGCAGAGUGAAACCUUUAGAGUCGAGUGUGACAAAGUAGAGAGCAUGGGGCUAGUUUAUUGGGAGGAUCCUAGCAAAUCGUUAGCUCCGAAUGAGCAGCUAAACAUGGGAGCAUUUCUCUUAUUUCAAGCUGAGCUCAUUUGAGUAACAAGUAGGUUACCUGCAGGCUGGGAGUUACACUGUCAACAGGGAGCUAGAGCUCAAUGUUACUCUUUGUUUUUUUUCUUACUGCCAUGGCAGGUGGAAGUUCCUGGGCCAGGAUCAAAACCAAGCCACUACAAGGACAACUCCGGAUCCUUAACCUGCUGCAUCAUAAGAGAUCAGUGUUAUGUAUUGUUAUACAGAAUAGAUGAAAAUGGUUUCACUUUAAACGUUUAAAGAAAAUAAUGCAAGGAAAAGUAUUUCAGAUAUGUUUUUGUGUUAACAUUAGCAUUUUAGUUAAGGAGCUAGUUAAAUCAUGUUCCUCCUCAUAAGAAUAUUGAGUCAACAAGAGUUUAUUUAGGAACUUGGAUCUUUGCUGCCCCAGUUUCCUUACCAGUCUCUAGUAAGAUGCUCUAAUCAGUCAAUAUCUUUAUUGUUGCUGCCCAGAUAAACCAGCAUUACAGACUAUAGAUGACUUAAUCCAGGGCCUUGUGACAGUGACCUCAGAGAACUAGCAUUGCUGCAGAGGUGCAGAUUUGAUCACUGGCCUGGAGGGUGGAUUCACUCCCUUGGUUUACAAGGCAAAAACUUAGAAUAAUUUUUCAUGUUUUCUUAGUUCCUGUUACUGAAUUUUUACAACUUGCAUUUAAGAUGGUGUUUUGUACUAUGUAAUAAAGUAUAUACGUACUUGACAUCCUAAUAAACCAUACAUUGUUUUGAUAA